UAAUACGGAGGGUGCGAACGUUAAUCGGAAUCACUGGGCGUAAAGCGCGCGUAGGCGGUUUGUUAAGUGGGAUGUGAAAUCCCCGGGCUUAACCUGGGAAUUGCAUUUCAAACUGGCCGACUAGAGUACGGUAGAGGGAGGUAGAAUUUCCUGUGUAGCGGAGAAAUGCGUAGAUAUAGGAAGGAAUACCAGUGGCGAAGGCGGCCUCC
rnacentral:rRNA from 1 species